CAGUAGCCGCGGGAAUACGGAGGGUGCAAGCGUUAAUCGGAAUUACUGGGCGUAAAGCGUGCGUAGGCGGUUCGUUAAGUCUGUUGUGAAAGCCCCGGGCUUAACCUGGGAAUGGCAAUGGAUACUGGCGAGCUAGAGUGUGUCGGAGGGUGGUGGAAUUCCCGGUGUAGCGGUGAAAUGCGUAGAGAUCGGGAGGAACAUCAGUGGCGAAGGCGGCCAUCUGGGACAACACUGACGCUGAGGCACGAAAGCGUGGGGAGCAAACAGGAUUAGAUACCCCAGUAGUCCCUGUCUCUUAUAC
rnacentral:rRNA from 1 species